rnacentral:rRNA from 1 species
GAUGAACGCUGGCGGCGUGCCUAAUACAUGCAAGUCGAGCGAACGGACGAGAAGCUUGCUUUUCUGAUGUUAGCGGCGGACGGGUGAGUAACACGUGGAUAACCUACCUAUAAGACUGGGAUAACUUCGGGAAACCGGAGCUAAUACCGGAUAAUAUUUUGAACCGCAUGGUUCAAAAGUGAAAGACGGUCUUGCUGUCACUGAUAGAUGGAUCCGCGCUGCAUUAGCUAGUUGGUAAGGUAACGGCUUACCAAGGCAACGAUGCAUAGCCGACCUGAGGGGGUGAUCGGCCACACUGGAACGUAGACACGGUCCAGACUCCUACGGGAGGCAGCAGUAGGGAAUCUUCCGCAAUGGGCGAAAGCCUGACGGAGCAACGCCGCGUGAGUGAUGAAGGUCUUCGGAUCGUAAAACUCUGUUAUUAGGGAAGAACAUAUGUGUAAGUAACUGUGCACAUCUUGACGGUACCUAAUCAGAAAGCCACGGCUAACUACGUG